rnacentral:tRNA from 1 species
GCCGGCAUAGCUCAACUGGUAGAGCAGCGUCCCUGUAAGUCGAUGGUUGGUGGUUCGAUCCCGCCUGCCGGCUCCA